UCGAUCAUCGUUGAAGGCUCUGCUUCGAUUUCUUCUCGACCUUUUCUUUCGUGUUUCUUUCUCUCUCCCACAACAUUUUGCUUUGUUUCGAACCUGGUUUUCUUCCUCUCUCGCACUGCCCCUUUUCCUAAUAUCUAUUGUUUCCGUCUUUGUCUCGGCGCGAUCAUCCACUGUCGUUUUUGUUGUUGGAAUAGUCUUCUGCUCCUGCGAAUUUCUUUGGUUCGAAAGCUUUAGGUGGCUACAAGCUUUUGCCGUUUCAAUUUCAUCAAAAUCAUUUUUUUCCUUGCGUGACCUAGUGUCUUAUGGAAACACUGGUCAUGAAAUUUUAGAGCUUUUGUGUGCAGCGUUGGUAGCCCUUUGUGCUGAGUGUAUACAAUUUUUGUUUUUCCUUUUGUGUCUUUUGUUUAAGAAAUUUUUUUAUUUUUUUAUUUUUGGUGGCCUUUGGUCUACAGAUACAACUUCGGUUUAAAUUUUGGUUUUUUUUUUUUUUUUUUUUUUUUUUCAAAUUUUGGUUGCUUUUGUUUAUGUGUUUAGAUGCCUGAUUUUUUGACAAGGCGAUUCUGGCCGAUAACCAAAGAACUAGACCUCGCUACUAUCAGUAAACGAUUCCUCUUACUCCCAUGACAAAUAUUCAGGUAUUGCAUAUUGGAUUUCAUUUCAGUUUUUAGAAAACAGACAUGUAGUUCUUUGAUUCUACAAGUGAAGAUAAUACACAUAGUAACAAAGCACUCCUACACCUCUGAAUAAUGGGUCAACAAUCCAACUCCAAACUAGCAAGCAACAAACCAUCCCUAACCCUCACAAAGUCGCAUGGGCCACCAUCAAGAAGGCCCCUCCAAAACCUCUGCAUCAGCAUCCAGAUUUCCUUUGAAGUCAAUGCCAAACUGUAGUGUGAUGUUCAAACUUUGUGGCCUUUUGAAAUAAGUGGGAGCAUAAUUCAUUCUACUACAGAUUGUUCCCCUUUCCAUUUCCAUGAGGAAGAUGAGGAGACAAAAAGAAGUACAAAGGGAUGCAUUUAGCCUCCACUUUUGAGGUUCCAGGCACGCAAAAACUACCGACUAGUGAGCUCAAAAAAAAAAAAAAAUUCUCAAUUUGAUAUAAAGUUUGGAUUUUCAAGUCUGGAUUGGAUUUAAUUGUACAUUUAAUUUGAAUUUUAAUCCUUCAAGAAGAUUAAAAUUAAAAAAAAAAAAAAAAAACACCUGGUGUUAGAUUAAUUAUUGAUUUUAGACUCUUAAUGUGUACUUAAUUCAAAUUCAUAUUAUAUUUUUAGACUCUUUUACAUUAAACAAACAAAUGUGCACAUAUGCAUUCAAGAAGCUAAAAGUUACUCAAGGAUCAACGUUGUUGUCGUAUACUUAUUUACCUGUCCAUUCUAGGUAACUCAUGUAUACAACUUACAAGUAUACUCCUAUAUUAAUUUGUUUAGUUAAUAUGAUAAAUUGUUGU